rnacentral:tRNA from 1 species
GCCGACAUGGCGGAAUGGCAGACGCAGUGGAUUCAAAAUCCACCACCCUUAAAAGUGUGUGGGUUCGAGUCCCACUGUCGGUA